GAAGACAAAAAGAGUGCCAAACUUGGCUGUACUGUUCACUAUAAUUUCCGUAUCUCACGGAGUUUUUUGUUUUGUUUUUAAACUCACUUCCUCCAAUGGCGUCUCUACAAAGUUCGCUCUCUGCAAUUUCUUCCAUCCGUUCUGGUUGUUCUUCAUCAACUACCACCGCCAAUUCUCCUUCCUGUAUCUCCUGGUGGCCGGAGACUGACCGAAGGAGCUCCGGCGGCAGGCUAAUUGGCCGGAGAUCCGUCAGCAGAGCAAUGGUUCAGCAGGCCGUACAGGGAGCUCCGGCCACCUAUGCCAAGGAAAUGGAGAGGCUUUCCGCUAAAGAAUCGCUUCUUCUUGCCUUUAAGGAUUCUGGGGGUUUCGAGGCUUUAGUGGCUGGAAAGACAACGGAUAUGCAGCGAAUCGAUGUGAAUGAGAGGAUAACUGGGCUUGAGCGGCUCAAUCCCACACCUCGUCCAACAACGUCGCCCUUCUUGGAAGGUCGUUGGAAUUUCGAGUGGUUUGAGUCUAGAAGCCCUGGUUUAUUUGCUGCCAGAUUCAUUUUUGAGAGAUUUCCCUCUAAUUUGGCUAAUUUGUCAAACAUGGACGUCACAAUCAAGGAUGGCUAUGCUAAGAUAACAGCCAACUUGAAAUUUUUGAACUCGAUAGAAAACAAAGUUACUCUAUCAUCAAAACUAUCUGUUGAGGGACCACUUCGAUUGAAAGAGGAAUAUGUUGAAGGGAUCCUUGAAACACCAAAGGUUAUUGAAGAAAGAGUACCGGAGCAGCUAAAAGGUGCACUUGGCCAAGCAGUUAAUACAAUACAACAACUUCCUGUUCCUCUUCGGGAUGCUCUUGCCGGCGGACUGAAAAUCCCCUUAAAUGGCUCGUACCAGAGAUUCUUCAUGAUUUCUUACCUUGAUGAUGAGAUACUUAUAAUAAGAGAUACCACUGGACUCCCUGAGGUUCUUACAAGGUUGGAUGCACCUGCAUCGCCCUUGGCAGACUCCAUCGCCGAGUAUGAGAGCUAAAGAUACUUUCAUGUAUGGGAUCUGUUUUUCUCUUCGUCUGUUUGUCAAAUUACAAUCCGCGUCCACUUUCAAUAAGAUUCUUUUUACUUUGUCAUUUUUUUGUGUAACUUCUACAAUCGGCAUGACAAGAAAAUCUAAGGUCACUCAUUAACCAGUGAAACUUAUACGUAUGUAUGAAAUUCAAGUCUAUUGACUAGGAUGGAGUGUGUGGUUGAUGCCGUAAAAUUUGACAAGUUUUUCAGGGAUAAGGAAGAAGAUAAAAUAAAUAAAUCAGAAAGGGCGGUCUGCAGUGUGAACAUCUAUGACUAUAAUGACAUGUUUUGCUUGACUAAAAUGUCGCUCCAGCUGUCUCGCUAAUCAAAGUUCCACAGCAUCUCAUCUUAAAUUCUCAAGUUUUGCCUUUUACAUACCCCGAAAACCCACUUUAUUUUUUUCUCCUUUCUUAUUGUAUUUAUAGUAAUAUUUUUGUUUGGGGUUGUAGGUAGGUUGUUUGUAUACGAUCUUACUAUUUUAGAACCAUUAAACAACUCUAUUUAUUUUGUUUAUUUUAUUUUA